rnacentral:rRNA from 1 species
AGUCGAGCGGAUGAAGAGAGCUUGCUCUCUGAUUCAGCGGCGGACGGGUGAGUAAUGCCUAGGAAUCUGCCUGGUAGUGGGGGACAACGUCUCGAAAGGGACGCUAAUACCGCAUACGUCCUACGGGAGAAAGCAGGGGACCUUCGGGCCUUGCGCUAUCAGAUGAGCCUAGGUCGGAUUAGCUAGUUGGUGAGGUAAUGGCUCACCAAGGCGACGAUCCGUAACUGGUCUGAGAGGAUGAUCAGUCACACUGGAACUGAGACACGGUCCAGACUCCUACGGGAGGCAGCAGUGGGGAAUAUUGGACAAUGGGCGAAAGCCUGAUCCAGCCAUGCCGCGUGUGUGAAGAAGGUCUUCGGAUUGUAAAGCACUUUAAGUUGGGAGGAAGGGCAUUAACCUAAUACGUUGAUGUUUUGACGUUACCGACAGAAUAAGCACCGGCUAACUCUGUGCCAGCAGCCGCGGUAAUACAGAGGGUGCAAGCGUUAAUCGGAAUUACUGGGCGUAAAGCGCGCGUAGGUGGUUUGUUAAGUUGAAUGUGAAAUCCCCGGGCUCAACCUGGGAACUGCAUCCAAAACUGGCAAGCUAGAGUAGGGCAGAGGGUGGUGGAAUUUCCUGUGUAGCGGUGAAAUGCGUAGAUAUAGGAAGGAACACCAGUGGCGAAGGCGACCACCUGGGCUCAUACUGACACUGAGGUGCGAAAGCGUGGGGAGCAAACAGGGAUAGAUACCCUGGUAGUCCACGCCGUAAACGAUGU